rnacentral:lncRNA from 1 species
UCAUCACGGGUCUUUAUUGUCCGAAUCCGGCCCAUCCCACGCCAAGCCUGUACCCGCUCAUAGGGGUGGGCACUUUACCCGAUAUCCGAAGUGGCACCCGAACCCGAUCCGAAAAACCCGAACCGAAAUCCGAACCGAAGUAGCAAAAUAUCCGAACGGGUAUUGAAUAAAGAGAGAUUGGAUACCCGAACCCGAACGGAUAAUACCCGAACCCGAAUGGAUAUCCGAAGCUAUCCGAACAUAUGUAUAAUUAACCUUAUAUUUCUAGUUUAUAUCUCUCAUUUUAUAUAAAAUAUUUAUAUUGAUACUACACAUACUUUAAGUUCAUAUGAUAUACAUACAAUUACGAAAAAAUGAUUUGCUACUCAUUUAAAAUGCAUAUCAAGUUUUUUAUUUCAAAAAUUAACAAAAAGUUACAUCCAAAAUUAAAAAGAAAAUAACUAAGUUAAUGCUUUUUUAGUUUUAAAAUGUUAUGUCCAAAUCUAUUAACCAUUCAAUCUAUUAAAAAUAAAAAAUUAGUUAACCGAAAGUUAUAUUUUUAAAUACAACAAACUUGAAAAAUGAAAAUUUUAAUUUUUUUUUUCAAAAUCUAAAUAUCCGAACCCGAUCCGAAAUAACCGAAUCCGAACUAAAAAUACCCGAACCCGACCCGAAGUAUAAAAAUACCCGAACGGGUUCUAGACCUCUAUACCGAAAUAUCCGAAAAUCCGAAAUACCCGACCCGAACCCGAACGGGUACCCGAACGCCCACCCCUACCCGCUCAAGUCAAGUCCAUUCCUGUGUGGUCCGCAAAAAUUUAGGUCUGAAUCUUGCCUGACCAAACCCAACCGCACCAAGCUUUAUUGAGCCAAGCCUGGGGGCAAGCCUUCAAAUUGCCAUCUCUUCUCUUAUUGUCUUCCAACUUGAAUUGUUUUCUAACUUGUAUAUUCGUUGUAUUGCUCUUUGAUAAACUCCAGUAACUAGAAAACAAAUUUCAGGAAUAUAAGUCGCUAACUCUUUAUUACCCGU